rnacentral:rRNA from 1 species
GAUGAACGCUGGCGGCGUGCCUAAUACAUGCAAGUCGAGCGAACGGACGAGAAGCUUGCUUCUCUGAUGUUAGCGGCGGACGGGUGAGUAACACGUGGAUAACCUACCUAUAAGACUGGGAUAACUUCGGGAAACCGGAGCUAAUACCGGAUGAUAUUUUGAACCGCAUGGUUCAAAAGUGAAAGACGGUCUUGCUGUCACUUAUAGAUGAAUCCGCGCUGCAUUAGCUAGUUGGUAAGGUAACGGCUUACCAAGGCAACGAUGCAUAGCCGACCUGAGAGGGUGAUCGGCCACACUGGAACUGAGACACGGUCCAGACUCCUACGGGAGGCAGCAGUAGGGAAUCUUCCGCAAUGGGCGAAAGCCUGACGGAGCAACGCCGCGUGAGUGAUGAAGGUCUUCGGAUCGUAAAACUCUGUUAUUAGGGAAGAACAUACGUGUAAGUAACUGUGCACAUCUUGACGGUACCUAAUCAGAAAGCCACGGCUAACUACGUG